UGGGACGUGGUGCAGGGUGCACCGCUGCAAUCUGUCCUGUAGCACGAUUGUCUACUGCAGCAGGCCGGGGUUCGACUCCCCGCGUCUCAA